UGGGGAAUUUUGGACAAUGGACGCAAGUCUGAUCCAGCCAUUCCGCGUGCAGGAUGAAGGCCCUCGGGUUGUAAACUGCUUUUGUACGGAACGAAAAGGUCUCUAUUAAUACUAGAGGCUCAUGACGGUACCGUAAGAAUAAGCACCGGCUAACUACGUG
rnacentral:rRNA from 1 species